AUCCUGGCUCCAGGAUGAACGCUUGGCGGCAGGCUUAACACCUGCAAGUCGAACGGGAAGUGGUUGUUGGUUGUUUCCAGUGGCGAAAACGGGUGAGUAACGCGUAAGCAACCUGCCCUUGGGAGGGGACAAACAACUGGGAAACGGUUGCUAAUACCCCGUAGGCUGAGGAGCAAAAGGAGAGAACGCACAAGGAGGGGCUCGCGUCUGAUUAGUAGUUGGUGAGGCACUAGUACCAGGCGAUGAUCCACAGUGAUGGUCGAGAGGAUGACUCAGCCACAUGGGACUGAGACACGGCCCAGACUCUCGGAGGCAGCAGUGGGGAGGAAUUUUUCCGCCAUGGGCGAAAGCCUGAGGAGCAAUGCCGGUGGCGGUGGAAGGCCUCCGGGGCGCAACUUUCUUUCUCGGAGAAGAAACAAUGCGGUUAUCUGAGGCUAAGCAUCGGCUAAACUCUGUGCCAGCAGCCGCGGUAAGCAGAGGAGCCCAAGCGUUAUCCGGAAUGAAUGGACGUGCGUUCGUUAUUUAAGCGUUCUGAGGUUGGCUUUCAAGUCCGCAGGCAAAUCCCAGGGCUCAACCAUGGACAGGCGGUGAAAUACAAGCUGGAGACGGUCUAGGGGCAGAGGGAAUGUCCGGUGGAGCGGUGAAAUGCAUUUGAGAUCGGAAAGGAACACCAACGGCGAAAGAACUCUUGCUGGGCCGGCACUGAAACUGAGAGACGAAAGCUAGGGGAGCAAAUGGGAUUAGAGACCCAGUAGUCCUAGCCGUACGUAAACGAUGGAUACUAGGUGCUGUUGCGACUCGACGUUUGCAGUGCUUGUAGCUAACGCGUUAAGUUAUCCCGCCUGGGGAGUACGUUCGGCAAGAAUGAAACUCACAGGAAUAUGACGGGGGCCCGCACAAGCGGUUGGAGCAUGUGUUUUUAAUGUAAUUUCGAUGCCAAAGCGAAGAACCUUACCAGGGCUGAAUGCCGCGAAUCUCUUGCAAGAGAGGGGUUGCCCUCGGGAAACGCGGGACACAGGGUGGUGAGGAUGUCGUCAGCUCGUGCCGUAGGUGUGGGGUUAAGUCUCGCAACGAGCGCAACCCUGGGUUAGUGGCCCACUAUGGUUUGAAACCCUGAAACAGGACGCCGGUGUUAAGCCGGAGGACAGGAAGAGUAUGAGGCCAAAGUCACAUUCUCCUUAGUUGCCCUGGCGACACACGUGCUAAAAAUGGGCGGGACAAAGGGUCGCGAUCUCGCGAGGGUGAGCUAACUUCCAAAAACCCGUCCUCAGUUCGGAUUGGCAGGCAUGCAACUCGCCUGCAUGAAGCAGGAAUCGGCUAUAUCGCCGGUCAGCCAUACGGCGGUGAAUCCGUUCCCGGGCUUGUACACACCGCCCGUCACACUAUAGGAGGCUGGCCAGGUUUGAUUGAAGUUCAUUCACCCUUAACCUUAAGGAGGGGGAUGCCCUAAGGCUAGGCUUGCGACUGGAGUGAAUAGUGUAACAAGGUAGCCUACGGGACGGUGCGGGGA
rnacentral:rRNA from 1 species